rnacentral:tRNA from 1 species
UCUAAUAUGGCAGAUUAGUGCGGUGAAUUUAAGCUUCACAUAUAAAGUUUAACCUUUUUUUAGAA